CUCCUACGGGAGGCAGCAGUGGGGAAUUUUGGACAAUGGGGGAAACCCUGAUCCAGCCAUCCCGCGUGUGCGAUGAAGGCCUUCGGGUUGUAAAGCACUUUUGGCAGGGAAGAAACGGCGCCGGAUAAUACCUGGCGUCACUGACGGUACCUGCAGAAUAAGCACCGGCUAACUACGUGC
rnacentral:rRNA from 1 species